AAAACCCUCCUUUCUUCCUCCUCACGUGUACCAACCCAAAACAACUAAGCAACCAAUUUUCUUCUCCCUCCCAUUCGUAUGAGCUUAUCAAAACCCAAGAACCAAGAGCACCUUCUUCAUUCAUGCUGUUCCUUCUAAAAUUGGCCGAGUUCUUGGUCUUCUUCCUCAUUCAAUCCAUUAAUUUUCGAGUAAACCAAGUUCCAUGGAUACCUUACUCUUCUUGUUGAUUGUUGGUGUAAACAAAUUAAGGAUUUUAUUCCAUUGAAGUAGAAAUCAGUAAGAUAGCAAUCGAACCCUUUCCUUUCCCAAGUCUCUGUCCAGCCGAAAUGGGGAAAAACAAGUGGAAUUUGAUCUUGUUUGUUUAAGCAUCGAAAAUUCAAGACAAACAUCAAUUUUUGAAGCCUAUUUUGUUGUGUUCCUUGCUGACCAUCAAAACAGAAGGAGUCGACAUCAUCGAGGAACUCUUCUAGUGAUUGCGGAGAAACAAACUUAGCUACUUGAAGCGUUCUUGUUUGUCUACAGAUCGAAACCAGUCGGGAAUAAUGGAUUAGCGGAGGUGAUUAGAGGUUCCAAGGAUGCAUACUGAGCUGAGCACGUAGGAAUUUGUAGUUUUGUGUUAGGAUUUUUGAUAAAUAUAAAUUUGAUUUGGUUGUGUUGGUUAUAUUGGACUUGUAGAGUAUCGUAUGAUUAUCUUGUGUUUUAGUUAGUUGUUUGUUUUGAGAUUUAGCUGAGUUAGUUACGUUAAAGAGCUGGUGACCCCCUUUGCUCAAGUUUUGGAAGUGUGAUUUUAGUUUCUUGGGAAAUGAACUCCGUGAUGACCCUGUUUACUCAGUCAACGGUAUGUCGAGUUGUUACAGUUUUCGAAUUAGUAUAUUAUGUGUGAUAUAUUUCAUACACAAAGCUUUUUGCAUUUUAUUUUUAUUAUUUGAAAGAUAUUUUUUCUAUAAAUUGGAUCUCUUUUAAGUGUGUUAAGAUAAACCUUACUUCACUUAGAAGGCGAUAGACUAGACGAGCGAGCCAUCAACUAUUUCAAGAAUAUAAUUUGUGACAUUAGAUUCUACCAUUUAUUGUUGAUGUGAAGAAGAUGGUUCUUGUGAAAAUUAUAUUUUGUCUAAGUAAAAAUCCUUACUAUUUAUCUAUUAAAAUCAAUUUCGCACUUAUAAAAUAUUUAAAAUAUAGUCAUAUAAUAUAGAGCACACAUUAUGAAUAAGUACCUUGCUAAAU